AUUCCCACCUCGCCCUGCGCCGCGCGCCCUCCGCCGGCGCCAACACCUGUCAACUCUGCGCGCUCCCAGGUUCUUGGAGACGCCGAGUGAGGAGCCGCCCUGACCGCCCGGCCCCGCUCCGCACUGCACCCCGACCCACCCCGCACCCUCCCUUUCUGCACCCUCGCACCCACACCCCUCGCGGUUCCAGGGGGCGGCGGCCCCGGGCGGAGCGCUUUCGCGUGCAGCCACCACUCCAGAGACUUAAUGAAGUAGCCAGCUGCAGAAGAAUCUGGAUCAUUAGAUAAAA
rnacentral:lncRNA from 10 species